UGGGGAAUAUUGGACAAUGGGGGCAACCCUGAUCCAGCGACGCCGCGUGAGUGAAGAAGUAUCUCGGUACGUAAAGCUCUAUCAGCAGGGAAGAAAAAAGACGGUACCUGACUAAGAAGCCCCGGCUAACUACGUGCCAGCAGCCGCGGUAAUACGUAGGGGGCAAGCGUUAUCCGGAAUUACUGGGUGUAAAGGGAGCGUAGACGGCUAUGCAAGUCUGGAGUGAAAUGCCGGGGCUCAACCCCGGAGCUGCUCUGGAAACUGCGUGGCUUGAGUGUCGGAGGGGCAGGCGGAAUUCCCAGUGUAGCGGUGAAAUGCGUAGAUAUUGGGAGGAACACCGGCGGCGAAGGCGGCCUGCUGGACGACAACUGACGUUGAGGCUCGAAGGCGUGGGUAGCAAACAGGAUUAGAUACCCUGGUAGUCCACGCAGUAAACGAUGAAUACUAGGUGUCGGGGAGUUAAAUUUCCGGUGCCGGCGCAAACGCAAUAAGUAUUCCACCUGGGGAGUACGUUCGCAAGAAUG
rnacentral:rRNA from 1 species